rnacentral:rRNA from 1 species
CAGCAGCCACGGUAAUACGUAGGUGGCAAGCGUUGUCCGGAAUUAUUGGGCGUAAAGGGCUCGCAGGCGGUUCCUUAAGUCUGAUGUGAAAGCCCCCGGCUCAACCGGGGAGGGUCAUUGGAAACUGGGAAACUUGAGUGCAGAAGAGGAGAGUGGAAUUCCACGUGUAGCGGUGAAAUGCGUAGAGAUGUGGAGGAACGCCAGUGGCGAAGGCGACUCUCUGGUCUGUAACUGACGCUGAGGAGCGAAAGCGUGGGGAGCGAACAGGAUUAGAUACCCCCGUAGUCCCUGUCUCUUAUAC